UACGUAGGGGGCAAGCGUUGUCCGGAAUCAUUGGGCGUAAAGAGCGUGUAGGCGGCCCGGUAAGUCCGCUGUGAAAGUCAAAGGCUCAACCUUUGAAAGCCGGUGGAUACUGUGGGGCUAGAGUCCGGAAGAGGCGAGUGGAAUUCCUGGUGUAGCGGUGGAAUGCGCAGAUAUCAGGAGGAACACCAAUAGCGAAGGCAGCUCGCUGGGACGGUACUGACGCUAAGGCGCGAAAGCGUGGGGAGCGAACAGG
rnacentral:rRNA from 1 species